CGGGGAUUGGCGCAGUUGGCUAGCGCGCCACGUUUGGGACGUGGAGGCCGUCGGUUCAAGUCCGACAUCCCCGA
rnacentral:tRNA from 1 species